CCUACGGGAGGCAGCAGUAGGGAAUAUUGCUCAAUGGGGGAAACCCUGAAGCAGCAACGCCGCGUGGAGGAUGAAGGUUUUCGGAUUGUAAACCCCUUUUGUUAGAGAAGAUAAUGACGGUAUCUAACGAAUAAGCACCGGCUAACUACGUGCCAGCAGCCGCGGUAAUACGGAGGGUGCAAGCGUUACUCGGAAUCACUGGGCGUAAAGAGCGCGUAGGCGGGAGAGCAAGUCAGAUGUGAAAUCCUAGGGCUUAACCAUAGAACUGCAUUUGAAACUGUGAUUCUAGAGUAUGGGAGAGGUAGGUGGAAUUCUUGGUGUAGGGGUAAAAUCCGUAGAGAUCAAGAGGAAUACUCAUGGCGAAGGCGACCUGCUAGAACAUAACUGACGCUGAUGCGCGAAAGCGUGGGGAGCAAACAGGAUUAGAUACCCCAGUAGUC
rnacentral:rRNA from 1 species